rnacentral:rRNA from 1 species
AUUGAACGCUGGCGGCAUGCUUUACACAUGCAAGUCGAACGGUAACAGGCCGCAAGGUGCUGACGAGUGGCGAACGGGUGAGUAAUGCAUCGGAACGUGCCCAGUCGUGGGGGAUAACGCAGCGAAAGCUGCGCUAAUACCGCAUACGAUCUAUGGAUGAAAGCGGGGGACCGUAAGGCCUCGCGCGAUUGGAGCGGCCGAUGUCAGAUGAGGUAGUUGGUGGGGUAAAGGCCUACCAAGCCAACGAUCUGUAGCUGGUCUGAGAGGACGACCAGCCACACUGGGACUGAGACACGGCCCAGACUCCUACGGGAGGCAGAAGUGGGGAAUUUUGGACAAUGGGCGCAAGCCUGAUCCAGCAAUGCCGCGUGCAGGAAGAAGGCCUUCGGGUUGUAAACUGCUUUUGUACGGAACGAAAAGGCUCUGGUUAAUACCUGGGGCUCAUGACGGUACCGUAAGAAUAAGCACCGGCUAACUACGUGCCAGCCGCCGCCGUAAGAC